CGGACGUGUCUGAGAGCCGGCAGUGACGGGGCCGAGGCGGCGAGCCGAUGUGUCGGCCAGCUGAGCGGCGCCAUGGACACUGACCGCCCCAUCACCACAGACGUCACCAUCACCAGCAGUGACAGCACCACCGGCACCACCGGCAGGCCUCCGCCAUCAUCACCGUCCCCAGCAUGACCAUCAUCAUGACCAUCACCAGCACCAGCACCACCGGCUCCGGGAUCAAACCCGUCACCAGCAUGUCCGUAAGUGUCGAAUCAUAAAAUGGCAAUGAACAUGUAAAACUCAAA